rnacentral:rRNA from 1 species
AACGAACGCUGGCGGCAGGCCUAACACAUGCAAGUCGAGCGCCCUUUUCGGAGGGAGCGGCGGACGGGUUAGUAACGCGUGGGAACGUGCCCUUUUCUAAGGAAUAGCCACUGGAAACGGUGAGUAAUACCUUAUACGCCCUUUUGGGGAAAGAUUUAUCGGAGAAGGAUCGGCCCGCGUUAGAUUAGAUAGUUGGUGGGGUAACGGCCUACCAAGUCUACGAUCUAUAGCUGGUUUGAGAGGAUGAUCAGCAACACUGGGACUGAGACACGGCCCAGACUCCUACGGGAGGCAGCAGUGGGGAAUCUUAGACAAUGGGCGCAAGCCUGAUCUAGCCAUGCCGCGUGAGUGAUGAAGGCCUUAGGGUCGUAAAGCUCUUUCGCCAGGGAUGAUAAUGACAGUACCUGGUAAAGAAACCCCGGCUAACUCCGUGCCAGCCGCCGCCGUAACAC